rnacentral:lncRNA from 1 species
CGGAAUGCGCGCAACAGCCACCGGUACACCUGCAAGUACAAUGAUCCCCUCCCGCCAAGCGCGGAGAACAAGGCAACGCCACCUGCGCCGCCGCAAGUCUUCCCGGCAGCCUACAACCAGCAGAACCAUGGGCUCAACAACCUGGAUUUCGGCCUCCCCAUGGACGGCCAGAGGUCCAUCGCCGAGCUGAUGAACAUGUACGACACCACCUUCCCGGCCACCAACAAGAACAUGGGCAACGACGACGUCACCAUUAUAGAGAGGCCCAAUGCCAUCACCCCAGUAAUGGACGAGGGUUUCUUUGGACAGGGCAAUGGAAUUGGAGGCAAUGGCGACAGUAUGUUCAGUGAUGUGAGUAACAUGAUGCAGCAGCAGCAAGCACAACAGCCACAGCAGCAGCAGCAGCAGCAGCAGCAGGCCCCGGCGCAGCAGCAG